UGGUAAGUAAGUAAUACUAAUAUAUUGUUAUAAACCUGUUGAAUAGGGGAAAAGUGGCUUAAGUAAAGUGGUAAUAUAUAAAUUAUUUUACUUUUCUAAGUACCUAAUAUCAAUCACAUUUUGAUACAGCAUUCAUAGAGUUAUGAUAACCAAGUACUCAAUAGGCACUCUCUAACUUUAUACGAUCUACAGAAUUUUUUUUUUUUUUAUCA